rnacentral:rRNA from 1 species
CCUACGGGAGGCUGCAGUGGGGAAUAUUGGACAAUGGGCGCAAGCCUGAUCCAGCCAUACCGCGUGGGUGAAGAAGGCCUUCGGGUUGUAAAGCCCUUUUGUUGGGAAAGAAAUCCAGCUGGCUAAUCCCCGGUUGGGAUGACGGUACCCAAAGAAUAAGCACCGGCUAACCUCGUGCCAGGCGCCGCGGGAAUAAGAAGGGUGCAAGCGGUACUCGGGAUUACUGGGCGUAAAGCGUGCGGAGGUUGUCGUCUAAGUCCGAGGUGAAAGCCCUGGGCUCAACCUGGGAACUGCAGUGGAUACUGGGCGCCUAGAGUGUGGGAGAGGGUAGCGGAAUUCCUGGUGUAGCAGUGAAAUGCGUAGAUAUCAGGAGGAACAGCCAUGGCGAAGGCAGCUACCUGGACCAACACUGACACUGAGGCACGAAAGCGUGGGGAGCAAACAGGAUUAGAUACCCUAGUAGUC